AACGAACGCUGGCGGCAUGCCUAACACAUGCAAGUCGAACGAGACCUUCGGGUCUAGUGGCGCACGGGUGCGUAACGCGUGGGAACCUGCCCUUAGGUUCGGAAUAACUCCCCGAAAGGGGUGCUAAUACCGGAUAAUGUCUUCGGACCAAAGAUUUAUCGCCUUUGGAUGGGCCCGCGUUGGAUUAGCUAGUUGGUAGGGUAAAAGCCUACCAAGGCGACGAUCCAUAGUUGGGUUGAGAGGAGGAUCAGCCACACUGGGACUGAGACACGGCCCAGACUCCUACGGGAGGCAGCAGUGGGGAAUAUUGGACAAUGGGCGAAAGCCUGAUCCAGCAAUGCCGCGUGAGUGAUGAAGGCCUUAGGGUUGUAAAGCUCUUUUACCCGGGAUGAUAAUGACAGUACCGGGAGAAUAAGCUCCGGCUAACUCCGUG
rnacentral:rRNA from 1 species